UACGUAGGUGGCGAGCGUUGUCCGGAAUUACUGGGUGUAAAGGGCGUGUAGGCGGGGCGUCAAGUCAGGUGUGAAAUUCCGAGGCUUAACUUCGGGUGUGCAUCUGAAACUGAUGUUCUUGAGUGUCGGAGAGGAAAGUGGAAUUCCCAGUGUAGCGGUGAAAUGCGUAGAGAUUGGGAGGAACACCAGUGGCGAAGGCGGCUUUCUGGACGAUAACUGACGCUGAGGCGCGAAAGCGUGGGUAGCAAACAGGAUUAGAUACCCUGGUAGUCCACGCCGUAAACGAUGGAUACUAGGUGUAGGAGGUAUCGACCCCUUCUGUGCCGGAGUUAACACAAUAAGUAUCCCACCUGGGGAGUACGGCCGCAAGGCUGAAACUCAAAGGAAUUGACGGGGGCCCGCACAAGCAGUGGAGUAUGUGGUUUAAUUCGAAGCAACGCGAAGAACCUUACCAGGGCUUGACAUCCCUCUGACAGGUAUAGAGAUAUACUUUCUUUUCGAAGCAGAGGAGACAGGUGGUGCAUGGUU
rnacentral:rRNA from 1 species